ACUGCUGUUCAAAAGAUACCCAACAGCAGUUGACAGCUGAUUAGACUGUCCCAUAUUUAGGAUCCACUUUAUCAGCCUGUGCACUGACAACAGGAAAAACAUGGGUUAAGCUCCUUUCACUGGUUUAGAAAAUAAUGUGCGUAGGAUAUGGGCUUUGCUGCCAAGGACACGGCUUACUGCUCAACCUGACUUCCCUCUGGAGAAGGUGAUGAGCCUCCUUCUUGAACCUCUGCGCUCCGUAUGGUGAAGAUGCCCUCACAAGGUGGGGAGAUCCAGGAUUUUACCCAGAGAUGGUGGAGUAACUGAGACAUAUUUCCAAAUACGCGAGAACUGAGAGCUGUCCAAGAACAAGUGCAGGUGACUGAACUGCAAGAGGAGCAAGAAGCUGACGAAGAAGCAAGACUAUUACUCAAUCUCAUGCCCUCAGCCUCCGGUUUAGGCACUGGCACUAGAUAUGAAAUUGGUUUCCAGCCCGGUGAUUAUAGACUGAUUGAAGGAACAAAGAAAGCUUAUUGCCUCAGCUGUGUCUCCCCUGGUAGCACACUUGCCUCUGAUCACAAGGUUCUGUGCUUCAGGGCUUCAGUACAAUAACCAGGCUGACACGCCAGUGCAGUGGUGAGGGAGUGCUGCAUUGUUGGAGAUGCCAGCUUUCAGGAGAGAAGUUAACCCGAGGUCCCAUCUGCUUGUUCGGCUGGACAUAAACAAUCCCAUAGCACAAUUUUGAAGAAGAGCAGGAGUUUAUCUCUGGUAUCUUGGCCAAUAUUGAGCCCUCAAUGAACAACACAAGAUUACCUGGUCACUAUCAACAUUACUGUAUGUGGGAUUUUGCUGUCUGCAAAUUAACUGCCAUGUUCCUUACAUUACAACAGUAACUACACUCCAAAGGUACUUCAUUGCCUGUAAAGCACUUUGAGGCACUUAGUGAAAAUCGCUAUAUAAAGCAACUCCUUCUUAAUAAUUAACCGUGUGAUAGAUACCCUGAUAAUAAUCUCCAACUUGAGCAUUAUCCCAGAAGAAAAUUUGAGAUAUCAUUAGCUUCUGAAAUAAAAUCAGUUAAUAUGAUCCAGGGAUAUAAGGAAGGUUACGUUGGACUGGAAAUUUGCUCAUUCCUUCCCUCACUUUAUUCUGGAGUUAUGCAACUAAAAGCCCUAAAAUCAAAGCAAGCUUGUGCUGGGUGCCUGUACUGCACAGGAUUAUGUCACCGGUGAGGGCAUCUGUCAAUUGGACUGAUGGACUUUGGUAUCAAAGAGUCACUUGGUAGUACAGAACUUUAAUCUUGCUGAAAAGAGAGCCAUGAUGCCGAAGCUUUUUGUCUUGCACUCAUCAGGACAAACCCAAGAAUGUCAAAUUUCAAACAAUCACAACCAUUUAUGCCACGGGAGAAAAGGGUGCUGAUUGGUUGGCAAGUCAACUCUAAUUGGCCGAGGCGUUGCCAUGGAGAAGCAACAGAGAAUUCUCGGCUCCCCAAACUCCUGGGUAAUUCAAAAAAAAGUGCAAGGUUUAAACAUAUUCCUUUUGUUUGCAGAGGAUGGAUCCCCGAGUAUGAAUGUAUGUCACUUCCAGCAAGUGUAAAUGAACCACAUUAUGAUUCUAAUUAUCUUAGAUUGAUUAUUGGUGUAGCUAUUCGUAUUUGGCAUCAGAUCUUGCUGCAGAGCCCCCAGAUCCUGAGAUUCCUAACCAGAGCUGACAGUUCAGUGUUGUGCACACCCAUUUCUCCCAGUGCUAUAUGUGCUCCUAGAGGUUCAGUCUAUCAUGCAGUCAGGACACGUGGUUAAUCUGAAUGCCCAAAACAAACCAUCUUAUCUUGCUGGGGAAGUGCCCCCAAAGUUAGUGGGGCCAGGAUGUGCCUACCUGUCAUUUUGAAAAGAGAAAUAUUCUGAUUCUUUCUGUUGUCAUGACCACAGAUCCUAUCCCUGAAUUAAUUAUGAGUAUAUUGAACUUUAAAGUAAGACAUGUGUUUUUAAAAAACGAAAUACAUGCAAAGGCUGAGACUGUAAGGUAACCACUUGCUGGAAGACUUCUACAUGGAUUACUUGACCAGCUAGUUCAGAGAGAAUGGAGUUAUGCACCUAAAUGGUGUGACACGGCCUACUUCAGACAAAGGCACUUCAAAGGAAAAGAUACAAUGCAAUCAGGACUGUAAUCUCCUGUGGUGGAUGAGACAUGGAAAAUAAUUACCAUCUCAACCGAAAUCACCUCCUGUUGAGUUAUAUCCCAGGCUGUGAACAUGAACUGAGUUGAAAAGGAAACAGAUCCAGGUGAAAGACAUGUUUGCUUUUUUCCUUCCAGGAAUACCCAAGCAAAGGGGUUUAAAAAAGCCAACUGCAACCCUAGUUCUGUGUGCUUAGUUUUGGUGUUCUGUUCUGGUGCUAGUGUGUGCUGUGAAGCUUACAGUUGAAGAACCUCAACAAGGCAUCCCUGUGCUUGCAGGCAAAAUGCCCUCUGUCUCUCUCAUUGCUGGAAGCAAGUCACAAGUCAGCAAAGCCACAGUCAAAAAGGAAACAGGACAACUCCUUUCAGCUAACCUGCAGAACCAAGAAUCUCCAACCCAAAUGCUCAAUUGUCAAAGACAGCACGACCAGAACCAGCCCAACUUAAUGGCUGCAAUGUUGUCAUCUACUCCUCACAGACAAGCCAAAGGACUGAUUCAUAUAUCUUGUAACUCUUAUUUUUGGACUCACUUUCUCAUUUCUAACCUGUGUGCAUCUGUGUUGCAUUUUUAUUAUUUUUUUCUCAUGUUUAGUAUCUAAUAAACUCUUUGACUCAA